GGGUCAGUAGGUUGGUCGUGCCACCGGUACGUACUGGUCUCACUGAUUCCUCCUUCCUGAAGAACCGUAAUGCCAUUUAUUUGGUGUUCCGGGGAAACAGGACUGUUACUUUGAAAAAAUUAGAGUGUUUAAAGCAAGCUAACGCUUGAAUACAUUAGCAUGGAAUAAUGAAAUAGGACGAUCGAUCCUAUUUUGUUGGUUUCUAGGAUUGACGUA
rnacentral:rRNA from 1 species